GAAAGACAUGCCACUGUUCAGCUGAAACCUCCUGGAACUGCAGCUGCUAGUGCCUGAGGAUGUACUGCAAGUGAACCAAGAGGGAUGAGCAGUCGCAAUGGAGGGCCCAGCAAGCACUGUUUGGAACAGGUUCUUUGCAAACACAGUCCCAGAAGGUGUCAUCUGUGCUCACCCGCUGAAGCAGAUCAG